rnacentral:lncRNA from 1 species
AGAUUUUUGAUUUGGGGGUACAUAUCAUUCAGAAUUCUGAAGUCAUUGAAUCGCCGUCUUCCGCUUCCAAAGUUUCCACUGAAUUGCCCAUUCUCAUUCCCUGUUUAUUGUUUGUGACGCAAUAUUAUUCUGGCAAAUUUUUGGGAUCUUCUUUUUGGAACACCCUUUUUCCUUUCCAGUGUUGUGGGAUUUCCUGAAAACAUAUCUUGAUGUGGGCCUUUUCUCUUCCAUUGCACUGGGUACUCAUGUUUAAUUGUGGGAAUCCACAUUUGGGGGAAUGUGUUAUUUCUUUGAUAGUUUUUUUUUUUACGUGUUUUCUCAGUCCUCUUUCUGAGACUUGUAACUAUAUACUAUAUGACUUGCUAGACUGAUCCUCUUUUUUUUAAUUGAAUUCUAACUUCCCAUUUUUAUCUUUUUGCUCUACUUCCUAAAAGAUCCAUUCCACUUUUAUCUUCCAUUCCUUCUGUUAAAAAUUAUAUUUCAACUCACAUAUUUUUGAGAGUUUGAUCUUGUUCUGAUUAUCCCAGGCAUUUUCCCCUCUAUUACUUGGACCCCUGGUAUCUCAUUUUUCUAAUUGUAAUAUUUUCAGAGUAAUCUCCCUCUUUACCUGCUUCUCCUCUGAGUGGCUUUCCCCCUUCCUUUUGAUUGGCCUUGAAGUCCUUGGCACUUGGAAGCUUUCCUCUGAGCUGUUGAAAGCUGCAGGUGGAGCUUGCUAACUCCUGGGCUUCCCUGCAGGGAGGCUGUUUGCUUUGCCCAUUUUCUGCAGGUCUUUUCCUUGAAGAGACAGGUUUCUCUAGAGGAGGGGAGGAAUCCUCUUCUCCCAGCCUGAGAAAUGUGGCUCUUUGAAGUCAGCUACGGGAAAUGAGGGUGUUAUCAUUCACUUCCUGUUUGCUUCACUUUGCCCUUUGUCUCCAAAUCAGCCCUGGAGAGAGCAGAGAAUCCAGGUCUACCUGCUUGAGUAUUACAGCCUACUACACCCUGCUGUUCCUCUUCCCAUUGUGCGUAACAAAUUGACCUGUUAACAAGGCCUUCUCCACCUCUACCUGUGGUCCAUUUGGAGUUGACAAUACCUCUUGGUUGCAUUAAAAGUGGAGUUUGCUUUUUUUUUUUUUUUUAAAGCUCUGUCCUUUUUCUGUUCUGGAUUUUUUUUUAAAAAAUCAUUUAUUUUAAAACUUUGUUGUUGGAUGACUUUCAAGAAAAAAAGGGGGGCAGAGAUUUUAAUACUCUACCAUCUUAAACUGAAAGUCUGUAAUAAGCUCUUAACUAUCAGUUUCUAGUUCCAGAAAGAACUGAUAUAUGAAUUUUCUAUCGCACCAUAGCAAAUGAGCAUACAUUUAGUGGUUUAAAAUUACCCCUCUUUAUUAGCUCUAGUUUUGCAUAUAGAAACCCUGGCAUGGUGUGACUGGGUUCUCUGCUCAGUCUCACUAGACUUAAGUCAAAUUUCUAGCUGGUCUGUGGUUUUGCUGAGGUCUUAUGUCACGGGAGAAGAGAUGUCUCUGGGAAAGGGCCCAAGGAGUUCCCAGAGGGGAGAGAGACCCUACUGGUCCACUCAGGACCAGUAGGGUUCUUAGCAUAAGUAAUGGAAAAGAAUUUCAGCACAAGUCAGACAAAGACUCAGGUUUAUUCAGGAAGGCAGAUAAACAUUUAAGGGAGAAUGCAGACUUGUCUCAAGCGAGAAGCAGCCCUGACUUGGGCCGGGGUCCAAUAUUUAUAGAAGAGCUGUAUUGAGGGCUGGACUGGGGGUGGAUCCUGGGUGGAGCUGCACAAUGUCAUGCUAGUUUUCCCUGCGCUUGAGUAUUUCCCUCAUUUUACAAGGGCAUAUUGUUCAAGAUUUACAACUAUGUUUUCUAUGUCUCCGUGGCUUGUGGGUGUUUUCUUUAAGAUUCAGUAUUUCUCUCUCUCUAUCUAAUCCCUAUCUCAGGUCCACUCCAAGCUCUCAGGGUUGUUGGCACAAGUUGGUUCCUUGCAAUCGUAGAACUGAGGUCCUCUUUUCCUGCUAUCUGGCCUGAGGUUCCCUCUUCCUUGACAGCUUCUUUGCUUGGGUUUUGGCCCUCUCACAACAUGGAAGCUUGCAACACACUUAAGUAUGUACAAGAUUUCACCUGCCCGAGUCAGGUGGUCCACCCAAAAGAUCAGAAAUCUUCCUUUGGAUUAACUGAAAGUCAGCUGAUUAGUGUCCUAAUCCAGGAAUUCCCAUCACAUUCACAAGUCACAUCCAUACCCGUGGAGGUAGUUAUACCAGGUCCCCAGGAGUCAUCUUAGAAUUCUACUAUCACAUUGGACACUGUUAUUUUUUCUUAUUUCUUUUUUGUUUGUUUUUGGCAAUACUUUGAACUUCUAAAUAAACAGAUGGCAUUUUAAAUUGAAGACUAUUUGCAUUGUAUUUCAAUUUUUAAAUAUAGCAUCUUUUGAACUAAUCUAAAGUGACUAAACAAUUUGAAGUCUCAAAGUCAUUCUUAAAACCAUUCCUUUAACAAACUAUAUGCAUUACCAUUGAACACUUAUGGGAGAGUCAAAGCAAUCACAUACAAUUAGUGCAUUCUCCUAGUGUCUCUUCCUAAAAGCCAUAUCUCAAUAUCCCUUGAUAAGGGAAAGUCAGGGUCUAUCAAGUGUUCCCCUCCCUAGAUGUCAUUUUUACUUAUUUGCUGGAUGCCCAUUUAAAAGUCCCUUAGAAAAAUAAAUAAAUAAAAUAAAUAAAUAAAUUACCCAGUUAUAGCAACAAAAAAAUAAGAGGAACUCAGGUACCUUAGAAAUUUUGCAGAGCUGCUUCAGUGUUUUUGGAUAUUGCUAAUGUCAUUUUUCAAGACAAAUUACUAUUGGUCACAGUCUUUAUGUGCUACCACUGGAAAUGAUGGGUCAGUUUAAAGAACUUUACGGGUUAAAUAGCUGUUAAGGGGAAAAGUGCUAGUAAACAUCUGAACUUCUAAAUUUCUAUUUGUGAAAAAAAAAUUUUAAUUCUACCUCCUAAAAGUUAAAAUUGAGGUGUGUUUCCGUUUUGGAUUUGUCUGUCUGAUGGGAAGAAUAAAGUUACUUUAGAUGAUGGUGCUUAUCAUACUCAUUUUUUUUUAAAGAGAGAGAGAGAGAAUUUUUAAUAUUUGUAUAUUAGUUUUCGGCGGACACAACAUCUUUGUUUGUAUGUAGUGCUGAGGAUAGAACCCGGGCCUUAUUGGUUGCACUCGUCUAAGUUUUUGUCAAUUAUUUUAAUUACCCUGGUCAAUAAUGUCAUAAUAACUAGCAGAGAAAAAAAAAAACUCUCUCCAGCUUUCUCCUCUGAUAUCUAUGGAUUACUUUUAAGUAUUUGCUCUUCCAAGUAAUUUUUAAAUCUGCUUGUCAAGUUCUAAGCAAAGCUGUAGAUCUGAGGAGAAUUGAUGUCUUUAUAAUUUUGAGUCUUCUUAUCUAAAAGUAUUUAGUUAAUAAGGUCUCCUAUAGUCUUUCAAAAAAAUUGCAUAAUUUUCCACAUGGAAUUUACUACAUCUUUGAUACAAAAUAUUUAUUCCUAAAUAUUUCACAGUUUUAAUGCUGUAAAAUUUUCUUAAUGUUGCUGGUAUACAGAAAUUUAUUUCUUGUAUUGAUUUUGUAUCCAGCAGUCUUGAUAAAUUUUUUUAUUUUUAAAAAUAUAUGUGUAGAUUUUCAGGUUUUCUAUAUAAAUGGUCAUAUUAUCUGAAAAUAGUAACAUCUUUUCUUCUUCAAAUCUUAUACUUUAUACUUCAUAUUAUCCUUUUGUAUUUUUUAGAAUAUCCAGAAAAAAUUUGAAUAGGAGGAUGUUAGGGCAUCCUUGUCUUGUCCCUGACUUGAAGGGAAAGCGUUCAGUUUCUCAUAAUUAUACUAUUUAUGUAAGAUUUUGUUUUUUAAAAAUAUGUAUGAAUGGAUUGAAUGGAUGUUGAAAAGAAAUCAUCAGGCUUUUUUUUUCUUUUUCUCUGGAGGUGAUCAUAUGGUUUGCUUCUUUUAAGUGUUAUUAUGACAACUGAAAUCAAUUAAUUUUAAAAUAAUAAACCAAAUUUGCAUUGCCAGUAUGACUGACAAUCAUGGCUUAUUGUGUUUUAUAAUAGUUGACUAAUAUUUGUUUUUGUUCAUCAGUGAACUUGGCUUAUAAUUUUUUCCUUUUACAUUUUGUUAUUUCAAUUAUAUCCCUCUGGUUUGGGUAUCAAGGUUAUACUAACCUUAUAAAUUGAAAUGUGUGUGUGUGUGUGUGUGUGUUCUUUUAAAGCGUUUGAAUUUACCUAUUCCUUAAAUGUUGAUAGAAUUCAUUUCUCU